rnacentral:lncRNA from 1 species
UAAUCCAAGAGCCAAAUUUGAGGGUAUUUUUGUUAUCAUGAAAGACUCUCACUCUGCCUGAAGAUCCCCAAAUCAAGCAAUACUUACAAACCUAUAUUCCAAGCAGAAUACCAUGGAUAAAUGCAAAUUAAUGUUAAUUUUCCUAUUUUUUUGACAAAAUGUAGAUAAUAUUUGCUACUUAGUAAACGCCAAUCCAGAAAGGUACAUGUACUUUAAGGAAUGUAAUCUGUUUUUGAACCUUGGAGCUGAAGCUCAUUAUUGAUAUAACAUGGACCACAGGUAGAAAGCUACUCAAAUGAAUUGGAAAUCACCCAGCUACCACUUAGAAUUUUGCUAUUCUGGACUGAAAGUGAUAUAAGUUCAGAAGCCAAGAGUGAAGAUGGGCUCCUCUCCAGUGCACACCUAAGGAUAUGAGCUUGGCGUGUUUGUGACUUCCAACAUCACAAAGUGACUUCCAAUAUCACAAAGACUAGUUAGUGAUCCAACAUCACAAAGAUAACCAAGGGACAAGGUUUUUGUAAAUAUCAUGUACCCAAAACAUCUUUCUCUAGACAUGUUUGACUACUAAAUUUUUAAUUUCUUACAUUGUUAUCAUUAAAGCAUAUCAUUCAUAUGACCAAAGUACUUUUUACCCCCCUUCACAAUAGCAGUUAUGCUAGAAUC